AACCCAUCCGAGUUGUCCAACAUCUUCGGCAG
rnacentral:scRNA from 1 species